GCACCGGUGGUGCAUGGUGCACGGCCUCUUAAUAUGUCCGCUGGAUGAAUUGUUUAAAUCGGGGGAAGGGGGGGUUCGAUUCCCCACCGGUGUG